rnacentral:misc_RNA from 1 species
UUAAGUUCAGCGGGUAUCCCUAUCUGAUCCGAGGUCAACCAUAGAAGGGUUAGUUCUGGCAGGCUACCGCCUAGCCCCAGAGCGAGAGUUGUACUACGCUUGGAGCCAGACGCUGCCGCCACUGGCUUUAAGACCCGCCGGGUUAGCGGCGAAGCCCAAGACCAAGCUGUGCUUGAGGGUUGAAAUGACGCUCGAACAGG